GGAUGAAGAACGUAGUGAAAUGCGAUAAGUAGUGUGAAUUGCAGAAUUCAGUGAAUCAUCGAAUCUUUGAACGCACAUUGCGCCCUUUGGUAUUCCUUAGGGCAUGCCUGUUCGAGCGUCAUUUACAACUUCAAGCCCCGCUUGGUGUUGGGUGUCUGUCCCGCCCCCCGGGGUGCGGACUCGCCUCAAAUUCAUUGGCGGCCGGUACAUUGGCUUCGAGCGCAGCAGAAACGCGAACUCGAGGACGGUGGAUCCGCUCCCAGAAGCCAACCCCAUAUUUUGACCUCGGAUCAGGUAGGGAUACCCGCUGAACUUAAGCAUAUCAAUAAGCGGAGGA
rnacentral:misc_RNA from 1 species